rnacentral:tRNA from 3 species
GGCGACGUAGCCAAGUGGUUAAGGCAGAGGUCUGCAAAACCUCCAUCGCGGGUUCGAAUCCCGCCGUCGCCU